rnacentral:rRNA from 1 species
AAUGAACCGGCGAGUUACGAUUUGAUGCAAGGUUAAGCAGUAAAUGUGGAGCCGUAGCGAAAGCGAGUCUGAAUAGGGCGUUUAGUAUUUGGUCGUAGACCCGAAACCAGGUGAUCUACCCUUGGUCAGGUUGAAGUUCAGGUAACACUGAAUGGAGGACCGAACCGACUUACGUUGAAAAGUGAGCGGAUGAACUGAGGGUAGCGGAGAAAUUCCAAUCGAACCUGGAGAUAGCUGGUUCUCUCCGAAAUAGCUUUAGGGCUAGCCUCAAGUGAUGAUUAUUGGAGGUAGAGCACUGUUUGGACGAGGGGCCCCUCUCGGGUUACCGAAUUCAGACAAACUCCGAAUGCCAAUUAAUUUAACUUGGGAGUCAGAACAUGGGUGAUAAGGUCCGUGUUCGAAAGGGAAACAGCCCAGACCACCAGCUAAGGUCCCAAAAUAUAUGUUAAGUGGAAAAGGAUGUGGCGUUGCCCAGACAACUAGGAUGUUGGCUUAGAAGCAGCCAUCAUUUAAAGAGUGCGUAAUAGCUCACUAGUCGAGUGACACUGCGCCGAAAAUGUACCGGGGCUAAACAUAUUACCGAAGCUGUGGAUUGUCCUUUGGACAAUGGUAGGAGAGCGUUCUAAGGGCGUUGAAGCAUGAUCGUAAGGACAUGUGGAGCGCUUAGAAGUGAGAAUGCCGGUGUGAGUAGCGAAAGACGGGUGAGAAUCCCGUCCACCGAUUGACUAAGGUUUCCAGAGGAAGGCUCGUCCGCUCUGGGUUAGUCGGGUCCUAAGCUGAGGCCGACAGGCGUAGGCGAUGGAUAACAGGUUGAUAUUCCUGUACCACCUAUAAUCGUUUUAAUCGAUGGGGGGACGCAGUAGGAUAGGCGAAGCGUGCGAUUGGAUUGCACGUCUAAGCAGUAAGGCUGAGUAUUAGGCAAAUCCGGUACUCGUUAAGGCUGAGCUGUGAUGGGGAGAAGACAUUGUGUCUUCGAGUCGUUGAUUUCACACUGCCGAGAAAAGCCUCUAGAUAGAAAAUAGGUGCCCGUACCGCAAACCGACACAGGUAGUCAAGAUGAGAAUUCUAAGGUGAGCGAGCGAACUCUCGUUAA